rnacentral:misc_RNA from 1 species
AACGCAUCUUGCGCUCCUUGGUAUUCCGAGGAGCAUGCCCGUUUGAGUGUCGUGAACUCUCUCGAACCUCCCGCCGUGGUCUUCCGCGCGCGGGGGUGUUUCGGAUUUGGACGCCUGCCGCGCCGCAGCGGCUCGUCUCGAAAAGCAUUAGCCGGGGUUGGAGCGGCCCUCUCGUUGAGUCGCCGGCGUGAUUGAUGAAAGUUUGUCCGCCGAAGGCAACGGGUCGUUCUCUCCCGGCUCCCAGCGGUCCCCCCAGCGGGACAAAGCACACACACCUUCUUGACCUCAAAUCGGGUAGGACUACCCGCUGAACUUAA